UCGGAUCAGUGGGAAGGAACGAGCCGGCAGCCGGUCAGCGGGAUAGCGAAGCACGGUGCUGGGUGGACGCGCCAGGAUGAAGGGGAAGGCUAUAUUAGCUCCCAUCUGACCGAGUUAGUGGCUGCUACGCCGGGAAGCUGCACCCUAUUGACCCCUACUAGAUAUCGAACUCCGGAAACAAGAGACGCCGAAAAAAUUCAAAAUGACUCGUUACGUGCUUCGCUAGUGGUUCGAGUCCGAGCCGCUGUGUAGCAUAUUCUUGCCUGACACGAGCCUCUUACACUGACUGUUAACUGCACGCCAUCCUCUGCGAUAAGACUGCGGAGGCUGAUGGCCUCCACCCGUGUCCCACACUCGUGAUCAGGAUCAGGCAGGGAAGAUGUGGGCAGGUCAUUAGUUCACGACUCCUGAGCUACGCCGCGGACCAUCCGCAGUGAAAAUACCAUCUAUAUCACCAUUUUAAAACCAUCUGUAUCAGUAUACACAUUGUACUUUUUUUUUUAUCUCUCCAUUCAUAUUGGUUUAUUGUUAUUAUUUUUUUUUCACUUGUCUUUCUCUUCUCUCUGGAGCUGUGUGGCAGAUAUAGGGCACUUCGUAUUGUUGUGAUUCAUUUUAUAAAAGUUAUUCCCAUCCGCAACCGCGGGUACGGAGAUAAAAGAAAUCCGUAUCCUCAUCCAUAAAUAUUCAUACUUUAUCAUCAGCCUUAUCCACAAUCGCAUUUUAUGAUAAAGGCAUAUCGGCUCUGUCUCUGCAUCCACGUGUCUAUGAAAAUUUAGUAUUCGAUACAU